rnacentral:rRNA from 1 species
CCUACGGGAGGCUGCAGUGAGGAAUAUUGGUCAAUGGGCGUAAGCCUGAACCAGCCAAGUCGCGUGAGGGAUGAAGGUUCUAUGGAUCGUAAACCUCUUUUAUAAGGGAAUAAAGUGUGGGACGUGUCCUAUUUUGUAUGUACCUUAUGAAUAAGGAUCGGCUAACUCCGUGCCAGCAGCCGCGGUAAUACGGAGGAUCCGAGCGUUAUCCGGAUUUAUUGGGUUUAAAGGGUGCGUAGGCGGCCUUUUAAGUCAGCGGUGAAAGUCUGUGGUUCAACCAUAGAAUUGCCGGUGAAACUGGGGGGCUUGAGUAGGUUUGAGGCAGGCGGAAUGCGUGGUGUAGAGGUGAAAGGCUUAGAUAUCACGCAGAACCCCGAUUGCGAAGGCAGCCUGCCAAGCCAUGACUGACGCUGAUGCACGAAAGCGUGGGGAUCAAACAGGAGUAGAUACACCGGUAGUC